rnacentral:rRNA from 1 species
AUGGGCGGAAGCCUGAACCAGCCAUGCCGCGUGCAGGAAGGAGGCCCUACGGGUUGUAAACUGCUUUUGUACGGGAAUAAACCUACCUUCGWGAAGGUAGCUGAAUGUACCGUAAGAAUAAGGAUCGGCUAACUCCGUGCCAGCAGCCGCGGUAAUACGGAGGAUCCGAGCGUUAUCCGGAAUUAUUGGGUUUAAAGGGUGCGUAGGCGGCCAGAUAAGUCAGUGGUGAAAGACGGUGGCUCAACCAUCGCAGUGCCGUUGAUACUGUUUGGCUUGAAUGUACUUGAGGGAAGCGGAAUGUGGCAAGUAGCGGUGAAAUGCAUAGAUAUGCCACAGAACACCGAUAGCGUAGGCAGCUUUCCAAGGUAUGAUUGACGCUGAGGCACGAAAGCGUGGGGAUCGAACAGGAUUAGAUACCCUGGUAGUCCACGCCCUAAACGAUGAACACUCGAUGUCGGCGAUAUACGGUCGGCGUCCAAGCGAAAGCGUUAAGUGUUCCACCUGGG